GUAAAUACUGACCCAGGGAGUUUUGCAUGGCUAAUGAAGGCAGAGUUCAGUGUCCAUGAUUAUAUUGCACAGCUUUACUGAAACAGCCUAUAAAUGUCUACAAAUCCAUUUGAUCCGCUCAGUUUGCCUGUUCACAAUAUAGGUGGGGUGAUUAUAUUUCAAUGACAACUUAACUCUUUCAGGGAGAAUGGCAUGAAGGGAAUGAAGCAAUAGACACAGAAUGAGCAUCUGCUUUACGUCCAGGUUUUAAGGGUGAUUGAUGAACAAUCUUUGAUCUAUUCUGUUUGGUGAUUACAGUUUCAUCUUUAUGAACAAGGAGCUUUCUACCAAUAAGUCUUACAAAUAAUUUUGAUUCUGGAAGGAAAUUGAGAGAAGAGUGGAGAAAAGAUAAUACAAAUGCUUUGUGCUAUGAAUGCUGGAUCUUUCCAUCUGAAAUCUAGAGAACAGACUAAGAAAAAUGUGGAAUUUGAAAUGGUACAAGUGAAUUUGUGGAAAAGUCUAUCAUUUAAAGGAAUCCUGCUUUUAGUGGAUAGAAUUAAGAAGGGUCACAGAAUCACUGGUAAAAGGGAAAAGAGACCAGCAUGGCAGAAGAGGUAGGCAUUAAUAACAGUGGGAAUGAAGAGCAAGGCCCAGCACCCCUGCCUCAAGCCCUGCUACGUGACCUCCACUAACUGUGUGUCCUGUGCUUGGAGAAGCUCAUAGCAUCAUGAAGAAUUGAAGGAUCUAUUUUUCUGUUUCCACAGUCCUUGCUCCUCUAUUAAAGGAAUAUUAUUUGCAGGCUGAUCUUUCCCAGUGGAAAGUAAAUUCUAUAAGGGCAUCAUCUUAGUUUGGGUUGCCCUGGAAGCAGAGCAGGAAAUAAAGAUUUGAGUGGAAUUUUUUCCCCCA
rnacentral:lncRNA from 1 species